CAGCAGCCACGGUAAUACGUAGGGUGCGAGCGUUAAUCGGAAUUACUGGGCGUAAAGCGCACGCAGGCGGUUUGUUAAGUCAGAUGUGAAAUCCCCGAGCUUAACUUGGGAACUGCAUUUGAAACUGGCAAGCUAGAGUCUUGUAGAGGGGGGUAGAAUUCCAGGUGUAGCGGUGAAAUGCGUAGAGAUCUGGAGGAAUACCGGUGGCGAAGGCGGCCCCCUGGACGAAGACUGACGCUCAGGUGCGAAAGCGUGGGGAGCAAACAGGAUUAGAUACCCCUGUAGUCCCUGUCUCUUAUAC
rnacentral:rRNA from 1 species